rnacentral:lncRNA from 1 species
CAGUCUCAGUGAUGCAAUUGCCAUACCCCGAAUUAUUAGUAGUGAAUCUGCCAAAAUCUUGUUGUUUGCUUUUCCAUCAAGUUUCAAGCAGUUAGUAAACUCAAAACAAAUUGCUGCUGACUCCAGAGAUUGAAUAAGGUCAGGAGAGGGUUUCGAUAGCUUUUCUAGUAUGGAUGCAUCUAGUUCUUGCAGACAUGACGGAAUCUCUGGCAAAGAUUGAAGCCGCUUGCAGUUCGUUGCAUCUAGUUCUCGUAGACACAAUGGAAGUUUUGGUAAUGACCGAAGCAUGUUACAAUCCCUCAAGUAAAGACUUUUUAGACACAAUGGAAGUUCUGGUAAUGACUGAAGCAUCUUACAAUCCCUCAAGUGAAGAGAUUUUAGGCGCAAUGGAAGUUCUGGUAAUGACUGAAGCAUCUUACAAUCGCUCAAGUCAAGAGAACGCAGUCGCGACAGUUGCUUGAUGCUUGCAGGUAAACUCUCAAAGUUAUUUUCACGUAGAUCCAAGCUUGUCAGUGAGGAUAAACCUAAUAAUAAUGAUCGAGGCAAUGAUACCAAACCUUUGCAUCUAGAGAACUCAAGAAUUCUAAGUACGUUUGAAUCUGCAACAGAGGAUGGUAGUUGACUAAUAGCUGAUCCAACUGCUGAGAUGGCCUGCAAAGAUUCUAAAUUGCCAAUGUUAUCCGGCAACUUAUCAAGUUUAGAGCAAUCAUCUACGGACAAUGAUUCAAGCCCCGGUAGAUUUUCAAAUGACGAUGGCAGCUCUGUAAUUGCCGUCCCGUCUAAAUUGAUGCGUUUUAAAUGUUCCAUUUUCUCCAAGAUUUCUGGGAAGCGCUCAAGGUUCAAGCAGCCAUUAACAAAAAGAUCAACCAAAGAUCUCAAUUUACAAAACCUAGUUGAAAUCCUCUUCAGCCGUUUGCAAUCCCUCAAAUACAACACUUCAAGAUCAGUUAGGCACUCUAUUGAUGAUGGAACUUCUUCCAUUGCAGACUGGCGUAAGUAUAGCUGUGUAAUUUUCCCAGAAAUCUGUGGAAACUCUAUGAGAUUAACACAAUAGGAGAAAUUAAUAGUUACUGGACAAACAAAAUGAAGAUUGCUUGGAAAAGACCUAAGACUUUUGCAGCCCUCAAAAGACAACGCACUGAGAUACUUGAAAUUCUGGAUAGAUGAGGGAACACAAGCCUUUUCUCCUUCCCAAGGUUGCUCAACUUUACUAAAACGCAAAUUCAGUUCAACAAGGUUCUUUGGCUUGAAAUUUGAUGGCAGUGUCCUUAAUGGAUAUGUGUCCCAAUGAAGAUAUCUCAAUUUUUCAGGAAGAUAAUCUAGGCCAUUUGGAAGCUGCACUUUAGAGUAUGAAAGUUGCUCUUCAAUGCUCAUACUUAGAAGAUUUUCAAUCUCAUACUUAGGUACAUAAAAUUUGAGCAAUCUCAGAUUAGACAUAUUUGUGAAGGCUCCGGGGUCUAAAUUGAUGCCUUUUAUUUUGGACAAAUCCAGAAAUAUGCCUUCAAUUGCAUCGGUCCCCUUAUAAAAAAAAAAAAAAAAAAACAAAGAAUGGGUAAGCCUAAAAUAGAAAAGAAACAUUCGUGAACUUUAUUAACUAAGGGGAUAUUAUCAUUUUCCCGCCGACACAUCAUGUCAGUACCACGGUUUGGUAAAACUAUCAAUUUACCACCAAACAUUUAAACUCAUUCCGUUAAACUGUUAGCAUUUUCCCACCAUUCUGUUAAAACUCAGUUAAUAUGUAACAGAAAUUUCCUAAAAGGUCAAUUUUACCCCUGAAGCAUAAAAGACCAUGUAAUUAACCUUUUAUGAAUUUUGUAAUUAAAUCAUCAUUUGUUGUUCUUCAUUCUUAAAGGACAAAAAUUACCCUUUAUAAAUUUUGUAAAAUUGACCGUGUGGUGUUAGGUACUUCAUAAAUUGAUUUAAUUUUUAAAGAGCAAAUUUAUUUAUUUAAUUUUUUUUUAUAAAAUUAUUAUCAUCAUAUCAAAGAUUAAAUUGCUUCUUUUGCACAUUCUUUUUUUUUCCCUUUCAUAAAUUGAUUUUUAGUAAUAGAAUAAAUUGUCUUUAGCUCGUCAAUUUAAUUAAUAAAUUAAAGCUAAAAGGAACAUUUAAGCUAAAAGGAGUGAUUGGAGGCAGAACUAGGUGGGCCAAUCAGUCCAUUUUAUUAGCAACUGUUGCUUAAAAAAAAUUAUACUCUAAAAUACACUUACUUUUUAAAAAAAAUAUAAUUAUAUUAAAAUAGAACCAGGUGGGCCAAUUCUCAUGGCACUCACUUUGUUAUGACACUCUUCACUAAAUUUGAAGAGAAAUAAAAUUAUACUCUUCCCACUCUUAUUCAACAUUCCAAAUUUGAUAAAAUCUAGAGUUUUCUUUAAAAAUUUAAAAUUUGAAGACUUGUUUUCUUGACACCCUCAGUCAUUAAUUUUACCUAAUUAUGGUUUUUAUGAUUUUGGUUGUUUUGUUCAUAAAAUAAUUUUACUAAAGGAUGUUCUCGUAAUAAUAAAAAUUAUAAAAAAAACAUGGGUGUGCUGGUAUGGUUGGAGAAAUAUGAGUGCAUAACUCCAAACAAAUAAAAGAUAUAUAUAUAUAAACGGAAGAUUCUUACCUUAUUAUGCUUUAGUACCCGGCGGAUUUCCUUAGGAUCCCACAACCUGUUGCGUUUGCCUGGCUCUUUCUCAGAUUCUUGGCGAACAAUUUGUCGCCCCAUUUCUUGCAAUAUAUCAUGCAUUUGCAACAAUUUGUCGCCCCAUUUCUCAGAUAUUGAUAUGAGUGACUUAUCAAUAAGGACAUCCAGUCCAUCCGACUCAGAAUCAUCAAGAAUCCUUGCCACAAAAUCUUUAUCCUCUCCCUCAAAGAAACACGCAAUAUCUAGAAAUAUGCUCUGCACCCUGGGCGUUAAUUCAUCAAAACUAAUCUUUAAUUUCUUAUAAAUAGCAUGAAUAUCAGAUUCACAAAUCCGAUUUAAGUCGUCCAAUACUUUUCCCCAAUGGCUUUUCCCCUUGAGGGAGGAACCCAACACUUUAAGAACUAAUGGAUUGCCAUCAGCAUACUUUACAACUCUCCGUGAGUCAGGUUUGAAAUCUUCAGGACAAUGCUUUUCUUUAAAAGCGAAGUUACAAAAAUGCUCGAAAGCCUCAUGAAAAUCCAUUCCAUUAACCCUAUAUAUUUUCUUCUCCUCCACUCCAAAUUUUUCGAGGACUCCUUUAUCCCUAGUGGUUACAACAAUUCUACUUCCUGGACCAUAUUGAUCAAGCUCUCCAAUCAGACCCUCUAAUUGUCCAACUUCAUUCACAUCAUCGAGUACUAUCAACACCUUCAUACGCCGGACCCUCUCUUUAGUAAAAUGUGGAAUAUUGGCACCAGCUACUUCAAGUUUUUCGCUUAAUAUUGUUGAAAGCAUUUCCUUUUGUAGGUCUUCUAGGCCACCCUCUGUUUCUGAUUUUCUCCUAACAUUUUUUGCAAAGUAUUUACCAUCAAACUCACCAGAGAAUUGAUCGAAAAUAGCUUCGGCAAGGGUGGUUUUGCCGAUACCACCCAUGCCCCAAAUUCCAACAAUUUGGACAGUAUCCGACAAAUCCAUACACAAAAAUGGUUUAAUCUGCUCAAUUCGUGAAUUUAAUCCAACUAGGCCGUUGGAUGAGUCCGUUGAGACUGUUAUUUUUUCCAACUUCUUCAAAACAUCUUCGACAAUUUUGUUUACAAGUUCCGCAUCGUGCCUAAUAUAAAGGUGCAAAGAUGCAAAAACAUUGAGUCAAAUCGGGCCAAGACAGAAACAGAGAUAAGAUGAAUUAGGAAAGAGAGUUACCUGAAUUUCGUGGAUUCGUGGCCAGCAAGACCGGAUGUUUCUCUCAGUGCAUCCCUCCACCUCUGAACCAUUUCUGGUUUAUCUUUGAACUUCUGUUCUAGCUUGUAAAAACCGUCCCCAAAAACUCCGGUUUGAUGCCGCACAUCGGAUGGACUUACUCCAUAGAAAACCGGAAUAUUGAUUUGGCCGUUUGUGUGCUUGCAUUCAAGAAUCUUGACAAGUUCAUUCAGGCACCAUUUUGAAGAAGCGUAGUCCUUUGAGAAAAUGACCACCGAAAUUUUUGAACCUUGGAUUGCGUUCAAAAGGGCAUCUGAAAUCUCAUCUCCUCGCCUGAGCUUUUCAUCAUCCAUAAAUGUUUUGAUUUUCUUUUUGUCAUACAAAUCAUCAUAGAGAUGGCAAGUAAAGAUCCUACGAGUGUCCUCCCCUCUAAAAUUGAGGAAGACUUCAUAAAUGCAAGAAGAAGAAGAAGAAGAAGCAGCCAUGAAGGAAAUUUUAGAAAAUUGGUGACAGAAACAGAGAAUUAAUGUUGAGAGUUGAGAGAGGAGAUGUAAGAAUGAACAUGUGUGAAGAUUCUUGCAAGCACACACUAAAUAAUUGAAUGGCUGGAGCUUUCUUAGUCUCCUGGAAAUUUCCUGGAGCUUUCAUAUACAUGAUUUGUCAAGUCAAGAAACAUAAUCAUGAUAAUGGGGCAGACCAGGAAGAAAAGAAAAUUUGAUUCAACCAAUAAAGGAAGGAAAAGCAAAGAAAGAAAAUUUGAAAGUAGAUUCAGAGAAUUAUAAAAAGCUAAAGGAAAUUGGAAUUUUGUACAAUUUCUCCAGCGAGGAACUUUCACUGUCAUUACCUCACCGUUAGAGUUUGGAUUAAGAUUUGAGGGUGCAGGCAUUUACCUAGAGUUUACCUCCGCACUAAAUUCUUAAGUUUUGAAAAUUAUGAAACCUUUAUAUUGGGAGAUAUUGUAAUCGAAUCAAAACUUAAAAUUUUUAUAAUGUUAAUAUUUAAUCUUUCAAAAAACAAUAACCUCGCCGUUGUAGUUUGGAUUAAGAUUUGAGCAAUUAUUUACCUAAAUUUUACCUCCGUCUGUAAAUUCUUAAGUUUUGAAAAUUAUGAGACCUUUAUAACCGAAUCAAAAUUUUGAAUUUCAAUAUUAUUAUUCUUUAAAAUUUUUUUUGAGAUAACAGAGUGAUUGAUAGUAUAGGAGAACUUGUCUAGGCAAGCACAUGCAUACACAGAAACGUGAUGGAUUCAAAAAGAAAUUAAAGUGAUAAUGCGAAAUCGCUUGGUGGCCUAGUAAAAUUACAACCGAAUUUUUUUUUUUAACAAAAUUCAAGCUCAUAAAUGACAAAAGCUAUUUCAUUUCCCUUUCACACGUCAUUAACUUUUGUAACACGGUGUGUGCAUCGUCAAGUGAGGCAAAAGGGUUUCGAUUAUAGUGGGAAAACAUGAACAAGAAUGCAUAAUGAAUAAUUCCUUCGAUAAAGCGAAAAUUAAAUUACAGAAUAAUCCUAAAAUUUAAACUCUAAUAUCUUAUAAUGUAUUGAUUAAAAAUAAUCCUAAGAUUUCCCAAUUGAAACUUUCAUAAGUAUUUUUAUUGUUUUGGAUAAACAAAUUGCACUAGGAUAAAAAUUUGGCAAAUUCAGAGGAUAAUGGAAAAUAGUUAUGCUUCAAUAGGCCAAAGAUUAGAGAACAAACAAGAAUUAGUUAUUGAUAUACAAAAGAGAAACACUCCAAAAUUUCAAGCAAAAAUAGUUUCAUAUACCAUUUCGAUUUUGGAAGGGGUGAGAGACUUAUUGGUACCUUAUUGAAGGUAAACAUUAUAGAACUUUCAAUGUCAUUACCUCACUGUUCAACGAAGACUUAUUGGUACCUUAUUGAAGGUAAACAUUAUAGAACUUUCAAUGUCAUUACCUCACUGUUCAAUUUUUAUUGAGUCUUGUGUAAGCAUUUACCUAAAUCUUACCUCCGCCUUUAAAUUCAUAAGUUUUGAUUAAUUAUGAGACCUUAUGUUGGGAGAUAUUAUAAUCGAACUAAAACUUAAAAUUUCAAUAUCAUUAUUCUUUAAAAAGAAAUUGAGAUUUCAGAGUAAUAUCACAUAGAAAAACUUGCCCACGGUAAGCCAAAAGUCUAGUCAACCACAUGCAUAAAGCUAACUAGAGCAAGAGGACAGAGAAACGCGUGGGUCCCUAAAAGAAAAGGCAAGCACAUAAAGAACUUUCAAAAUGCCCAAGCAAAUACUGAUAAAAAUCACUGUUUAAGACUAAUAUAUUAUGUGGUUGAAGCUUUCUUUUUAUCAAUCUUCUUUCUACCCAUUAAUUUUCCCACGACUUUCCGGUUUUAUUUCUUGAAUCUCCAUGGAUUAACUUUCAAUAAACCAUAAAAUAAACUAAGGAAUCAUUUUCUCGAACACAGCUAUGAUUUUAAUAAAUGGGCGGACCAUCUAGAAUAGUAUAUAUAAUUCUGUUUAAUUAAUAAUUUGAAAAAACCAUCAAGAGAAAUUCUAAUAUUAUGAGCUUGACACGAAUUCUUCACUAAUUCCAAAACAAGGAGCUGUUUUAUAAGAACUGUGGUUGGAUUAUUAAGUUUUACAAUUUGAAUAUAAAUAAGAAAAUAAAAUCAAUCGCGUCGAUGUUUUCGAUACAUUUCGCUGCUAACUUAAUUAAUUACUUUACUUCAACUUUAUUUCCUGACGGGCACUAUAAGGUGGGUCCAAGAUGAGACCUACAAUAAUCAAUCCUAGAAUUUAGUAUGGUUACUAAAUAGCUUAGUGUUAUUUUGUGUUUGGUGGAAGAGAUUGAAUAUUUAGUUUUAACUUAACCAUUCAACUAAUUAGAAAAUAAAUAAACUUAAAUGAAAUGUUUAGAUAUCAAUUUAAAUAUUAAUAUCGGGGAUAUAAAUUAGUUAUAAUAUAGUUCAUUAUAUAAAAUUGAUUAAAUUAAUAAUUACACAUGAACAUAGAUGUAUAUGCUUUCCAAUUUCCAAAGUGCUCAAAGCACUUUUCUCACCAAACUUUCCUCUGAAUUUCCCGUAGCUGACUCCUUUGUUUGCGUUUUGUGAAAUUUCUAGGAACUUUUUUCUAUUUAGAAUAUUGUACAUUUUUCUUUUCAGCUGAGAUUAAUUUAACUUAUAGAAAAUCUUAUCCUUUUUUUAAUAUUAUUUAAAUAAAAUUUGUCUAUCUUUCAUUUUAUCAGUCUACUUUCUAGUUUCUACCCAUUAAUUAAGACUUUUCGAUUUCUUUUUUUCCUUAGGUUUUCAGUGACCAUCUUUCAAUAAACCACAAAAAUUACUGAGUCAUUUAUUGAACAAUUAGAUGACCAUAUUUCAAAAUAUCAACUAGAAGUUGCCCUGAAAUAUUUAAUUAAUAGUUGAAGAAUUGUGAUUAGUGUGGGCAUCUACAUAAAAAUUAUAUUAAAACACUGCUAAAAGAUAAAAAUAAAAUAAAAUAAAAUAGUACAAACAUACACCCAUAGGUUAAAACAAAGAAAAAACACGAACCAAUACACUAAAAUGUUUUAGCUGUAGUUAGUUUUCAGUUUCAUUACUUAAGUCCCACGUGCAUGUCUCGUGACUGAGGUCAAAAAAUGAUUGUCACAUUAAAGUUCAAAGUACGGAGCGGGGUAAUUAAGGAGUGGAGCUAUUGGCACCCCUCCAUUAUUCUUACAAAACCCCACUUUAAAUCAAAUUAUAAUUAAGGACAAUUGAAAAUUAAACACUUAUAGAUUUCUUUACAACAUGUUGAGUGAUAAAAAAGCACCAGUCGGGCAUGUCCCCAUUUCCUACCCGGGGGCGAAUCUCCUCGGCCGAAUGGUAUGAGUAGACUCCUGGUGAUGUCUUCUAUGUGGAGCACGUAACAAUCGACCAGGAACUAGUACCAACCAGAAACGAGUACUGAUCAGAAACGAGCAUGACUAGAAACGCAUACCGACCAGAGACUUGUGGGUCUCUAAAAGAAAAGGCAAGCACAUAAACGAAAAAGCCAUUACAUUUCUAUUUUAUAUGUCAUUCCUAAUUUUUGUAACAUGGUGUGGCAGCAUAUGCACAAUCAAAUGAGGCAAAAGGGAUUCGACUAUCGUGGCAGAACAUGGACGAGGACGCGUGAUGAAUAAUUCCUUCGAUAAAAUGAAAAACAAACGCAGAGAAAAUAAUUUCUUAUAUGACAAGAAAUUAAAGUAAUGUGAAGGAACAUGAUGAAGAAAUUGCAGACCGAUCAAUUAUCCCCAUGGACUCCUAUAAAUUCAACCAAGAUAACAAUUCCAAUCUUACCAAAUUCUUGAGUUAAAUUUAUUCAAUGCUUUUUUUUUAGAGAAAUUUUUUCCAAUGCUACUUUCCCUUUUUUGGGGAAAUUAGAACUGCGGCAUGUAUAGAAGACAUUGAGGUAUAAAGCAACAUUAAUUUCAUGGGUUAUGCGUUAUACGCAUAAUAUAUUUUCAGUCCAAAUUCAACUAUGAAAAGAGGCUUGAGAACUUAAAAUUAAGCUCAAACUAAACAGACGAAGUAAAUACAUGAUUAUGCAACAUAACAUUAAUUCUCUCAAUUUAUAACUGUUUUUGCCACAUGAAUCUUGCACAGUUAAUCCUAAUUGAAGACUAAAAAAGAACAAUUGGAACAAGGUUUUGGAAUAGAAUGAUAUACAAUCGAUAUGUUCCAUUUCCAGUCGUCAUAACUAAUUAACUGCAGUUUCUAGACUCCUAAUUAUACUAGCCAUAAGAAACUGUUUAGAAAACUGGUGAUCAGAUUAGAUUUUGAAAAGAAAUAAUGUUCAUUUUCCCUUUGCUACCUUUUUUUUUUUUUUUAUACCAAAGAAUUCUAUCAUGAAAAGAAUCAAUUUAAUCACCUUUUCCAGCAGCACAAAUUUUCUUUUAUAAAAUUUGACCACGGAGACAAAGAAGAAUUAUUCAUACCUUCAUCAGUAAGGAAAUACUUUUCGGUAUGGCUAGGGUGAGAAAAGGCUUUCCACAAACACUUGUACUUUGUAUUCCUGUAAAUUUUCUUUAAAGUCAAUAAAAACCAUAAGUUCUUUACAAUAACCAUCUCUUUGAUCAAAAAGUGCCGCAUUCCUUUAGAAUUUAAAACCGGCAAAACCGAAUCAGUGUCUUUGAAGAGACAUAAUGGUCGUAAUUCUUUAAAUGAGUUGGCUAAGGAAAUCCUUAUCCAAGAUUCUUUCACGCCAUGUUCUUUCGUAAACCAAAAUUCAUUUUGGAAUACUCUGAUGAGAAUGUCAAAUAAAACGGCAUUGAAGGAAGUUUUCAAAGGCAGAAUCUGCACUUGUCAAAGGGAUGAUAUGCACUUGUCAAAGACACGACCCGCGUCGAACGAAUCAACACAUUUCCUUUCGUAUUCGCAUAUGUAAUCUUUGAAAAAAUGUAACUUCUGCAUCUAUAAAUAACGCUCAGUGUAUAAUGUUUUAUUCAAGAAAAGAAAACAAGUUUCUUCAUACUCCUCGUCCGAACAUACAGGGACAGUCUCUCAUAACUUCAGCCGAAUACUUAUGAUGAUGAUCAUUUGUGAUUUCAUCAGGCAUAGGGUUGAUGGUGAAAAAUUUUGUAUGUGUGAAGAAUUGAGCUGUGGAUAUAAGGGACUUAAGUGUAAUCGAAAGAGAGUUAUUAGGCCAUAGUGCAGAUUGCAUUUAGUUUAUGGGUCGAUAUGCGAAAUCUGUUAUGGUCGUUACUAUUGUUUCUGGAAAUUUUCUAGAAACCUCAGCAUAAAAGGGGCUUUUGCAUAGCCUCUGGUGUGCGUGUGAUUUCUCUUUCGUUUCCUCAUCAAAUUCUGUAAUUCUUGCUUUGAUAAAAAGCUUGUAAUCUCUUCUGUAAUGUGUGAUCAGUGCGUAAUCAUUUUGAGCAAUAAAAGCUUGUGGGUUUUUCCUUCAAACAGUGUCGUUUUGGUCAAUUUGUUAGUUUGAUCUGUUGGUGGAAUUUUCUUUGGUUAUUUGUUCUCAAAUUUCAACCGUAUAUAAAGUUUGAACUCUAAUGGCUUAUAAUGUAUUGAUUAAGAAUAAUCCUAAGAGUUCCCGAUUGAAAUUUUUAAUGACUAUUUUUAUUGUUUUGGAUAUACAAAUUGCAUUAAGAAAAAAUAUUGUCAAAUUCAGAGGAUAACGGGAAAUAAUUAUGCUUCAAAAGGCCAGAGAUUAGAGAACAAAGAAGCAUUCAUUACUGAUAUACAAAAGAGAAACACUCCAAAUUUGCAAGCAAACUAGUUUCAUAUACUAUUUGGAUUUUGGAAGGGGUGAAGUUUUGAACUUCAGUUGUUCCUCUAAAAUCAAAAGCAGCAAUUAAGCGUUCUCAAUUAGAAAUAGCAAAGAAGACUUAUUGGUACCUUACUGAAGCUAACAUUAUGGCACGGUUGUUCAUAUGUAAUGGUUGCUCUGUUAUGCUAGCUUCUCUGUUUUUGCUUACAGUUUUGAACAUAAAUUCUUGCUCAAAUAACCCAUAAUUAAAUAACACUAAUAUGGCUCAUGAAAUCCUAUAAUAGCUAAUUACGCAACUUUCUCCUCCUCCUCAAUUAUGUCUUCCCCUGCUCGUACACUAAAUUCAAAAUUCAAUGCCCCGAAAAACAACACAAGAAAUCUUUGAGUUAGUUCGUGACCAGUUUAUAUAUAGUAGCAAUUGAAAAAAGAAAAAGAAGAAAAGAGUUAAUUAUUAUUCAUACCUUCACUUAUUAGGAAGUUUGUUCUGCUAUUGGGUGAGAUCAAGCUCUCAGCAUAUACUUCCGCAUAAUACUUUCUAACAUUUUCUUGAAAGACCAUCAAUCAUAAAAUCUUCAUACUUUUUUCCAUCCUUUGGAUCAAUAAGUACAAAUUUCUCAUCUAAAACAGAAAAAAUAAAAUCGCUGUCCUUCAUGGAAUAUCAUGGCUGCAAUGCCUGAACUGAAUUAGCUAAUGAAAUUUGAGUCCAGGAUUCUCUCAGCCCAUAUUCUUUCAUAAUCCAAAAUUCUUUUCUUUCUCGACAUGGAAGAUAGUCUUCUUUUCUUUCUCGACAUAUGUCUCUGUACUUUUCUCUCUCUACUGAUCCACACUUUUUCAUACUUCUAACUAUCAUUUUGUUUUUUUUUUUUUUGUUGAGUUGUGAUUUAUUCAAUUAUUUUUUAUUUUUAAUGACAAUUAUUUAAUAUUUAGUUUGUUUUGAUAUUGAUUAGUGAUUGAAAGUGUAUUUUAGAAGACUUCCGGUCUCUUGAAAAAAGGAAAAAUGGAGAAGAAGAAGAAGUGUUCUUGAUUUUUUUGUAGGCAUUAAAGUUAAACGGUUCGAAAUGAUAUUUUGUUUUAAUUUCACUCAUUAAUCUCAUUCAGGAUAAAAUUAUAAAUGCAAAUAAAUGGGGUUUCAUAAGUAUAUUUAAUAGUGUUAAAAGGUCUACUCACUAAAUAAACAUGUUUUACCCAAACCAAUCCGAUUAAUAAGCUAUUGGGUUGGGUUGAUCAGGUUAAAAAUUAAAUAAAUAAAAAAGGCAUAAAAACUAUAUUUUACUUGAAAAUAAAAAAGAAUUUCUAAUAGUUAGUUCUAAUGUCCCAUAUCCAAAACAUGCAUAUUAAAUAAAUAUUAUAAGUUAGAGGUAAAAUAUCCAAGAAACAAUGUAUGAAUGAAAUACCAUAUUUUUGUUGAGAAUUAAGAGUGUGAGUUUAAUUUUGAUAUUGGAGUCUAAAGCAAUAGAUAGUACAAUGAAAUCAUGAAUGCCACAUUUAAAUAAUCUCUUUUAUAAAAUAAUAAAAAGAAGUUAAAAAUUAAGUUAGCCAUUUAGGCGUUUAGGGUUUAGCAGUUAAGGAUGAACAUAUUAUUAUUAUUGUUGUUGUUGUUGUUAUUAUUAUUAUUAUAAUAAUUAUUUACAUAUUAAUUAAUCCAACUCAACCCAUUUGUUAACAAAUUUGAAAAAAAAUGACUCAAUUAAUCCACAAUAAUCCAUUCAACUUGUCUAAAUUGGAUUAGGUUGAAUUUGAUUUGCCACCCCAAUUUGAUUUGCCACCCCUAUUUUGAGCAACAAACCUCAAUGUGAUUCCAUGAGCUCUUUGAUUGUUUAUAAAAUUGAUUUAGAGUACAUAAUGGAGUGUAUCGACAAUGAAAGUGCAAAACAAAUAUUUGUGUACAUUAAAAUCUGCAAAGCAAUGAAUUAUAUGUACGAACGAGUGCAAACACAUUUUUCAAUAAGAAGUUAAAAGAUAUUUAUGCAUGAAAAAGCCUGCGUUUGUAGUAUUCUAAAUUUUAAAAAUAAAAUUUACAUUUAGAUCCCUAAAAUUUACGUAUAAGUACAAAAGUUUCAAAUAUUGUCUAUUAUUUUUUUAACAUGCCUAUUCCUUGUGGAUAAUUCUAUCUCAUCGCUGAUGUUGUUUCUUGCUUACAAUUUGUAUAGCGUCUCAAAAUAGACAAUAGGGGGAUUUUGAAUUUUUUAAGUCUCAAUAGUCUCUAAUCUUGUGAGAAAGAUUUUCUUUCAAUAAUUUGGAGGUAAACAUAAGAUAACUUUUUAGAUUAAAGCCUAACUCUGCUGGUUAUGGUGGUAUCCUUUUCAAGACUUGAGUCUUUAGAUUUGAGUUUUAUGGAGUGUGCAUGCGUAUUUAAUUAAUAGUUUUUUAAAAACAAUACAUCAAAUAUUAAUAUCCAUGACAUAAUUUAGUUCUUAAUUUUUUUAAAAUACAUCAAAAACAUAAUUUUUAUAACAACUUAUAGGCAUGAAAAAUUUCAAGAUAUAACUAUCAGUCAAAAUGAGUGAAAGAAAUAACGGUGUCAAUUUUAAUUUCUUGACUAAAUUAAUUAGUGCAUGAGCCCUGAAUACGACGCAAGAGUUUGAUGGGCUAACUUGGCACAAGAACCUGAAUAAAUAAUUGAUUGAAGAAAUAAUUCAACGAAAAAUAUAAUUGAUAAAAAUUCAGUAUUGAAAUGAGUUUUUUACGAAACACUGAAUUAAUGAUUAUUAAGCAAGAAUAAUAAAAAAUAAAAUAAAAAAUAAAUAUUAACCAUUGAUAAGCUUCAACAAGAACUUAACACAACCCUCAGUCCUAAUUCAAAUUAUAAAUGUCAUUCAUAUAUUCAUUAUAAAUCAAUAAGAAAGGUUAUAAAUGUUUAGAAAUUCUAGAGGGAAGGAAGCUAUCGCCGGGCAAUCAACAACUAAAUUUGAUGUAAUUGUGGCACGAGAUGGAAUAUGGAAACUACACCAUAAUUUCAAAUGCCGCCAUAGACAUUGACUUAUCUACAAUAACAAUGAUCUAAUUAAAAUAAAAAUAGAGUUUAUGGGCAUUUAUUAAAAUAAAAAUAGGAGUGAAGUAAAAACAUUUAGAUUUUAAUAUAUGUACGGAAAAAUUUAUCUUUAAAAAUACUUUCUUAAUGUGUGUGUGCAUAUUGAAAUACUCAAACCAAUUUUGGUCAUAUAUAAUUAAACAAAAUUUAAAAUAUGAAAAAUAUAAUGUAGUUAUAGUGGAUAAGCAAUAAGUGAGCACAAUAUAAUUAAUCAAAUAUUAUGCUAUCAAAAGUUAAUUUUAGAAAUUCCAAAUCCAAUAGCUAACACAAUUCUUUAAAGAAAUAAUAUGGGGCAUUGGGCAAGAGUAAUGAAUGCUUAGUGGGUGCAUUUGAUUGAUAGAUAUAUAAAGGGCCGAAACUUGAGAUUAUAUUACUUUUACAAAUUUUAAUCCAAUCACAUAUUUACUGAAAACAAAAUGAGUUUGGAUAGUUUAUUUAGAACCCACAUUUUAAUAAGGCUUCAUUUGAUGUAGUUUUUCAAACAUUGAUUAUUUGAGUAAAGUUUCUUUAAUAGAGUUUUUAUCAAACAAAUUUUAUUUAUUUGGUUGUCGAUAAGAGUUUUCAUUAAAAAUUAUAAAAUUAUUUAAAUAAACAUGUUUCUUAAAAUUACAUUAUAAAAAUAAUUAAAUAAAGUUAUAAAAGUAAAAUAUAUUUUAGAUAUUUUAAUAUUUAAGAAAAAAUUUUCAACCUUUACUUUCGAAAGUUUAAAUCUUUAACUUUUAGUUGUAGAGACAAAAUAUCUUAUUUAAUCUUUAAAAAUUAUGCUAAAAACAAUCAAAUAACUACAAUGGUGGGAUAGCUGGGCUGGCUGGCCAGCUGUGUGCGCAUUGUAUAUGAUUGUUUUUCACUUUUUUAAUAUUUUCUUGUGCAUUAGUUCAUAUUAGAUUAGUGAGUUUGUGUGUGUGUUGUGUGUUUGCAGUUGAUUUGGUUAAGAUAUUUAGGUUAUAAUAAUUUUUUUUAAUAAAAAUUUGUUUUAUUUCGAAAUGUCAACAAUGCCCACAACUACCCAAAUGGCAACUAAGCGGAGUAAAAACGUAGAUGGUUUUUUUACAAAUAAAUAGAUUCUCAGCAUCUAUUUACAAUAAACCCAAACCUCGGGGAAGAUUUUUAAAAAUUACCCUAAAAUUAAAUAAGCAUUUAUUAAUAAUCACUUUGAUAUACUUAUCUAAUGACCAUAAGUGUUUAUUUAAUCUAAUAAGUUCUUAUUUAAUCUUAUGAGCUCUUUUUAAUUUUUUUUGUUGUUUGUUUUUUAGUAGAGUAUUUGAAAAUUAAAUAAAGUAUUUUGUCUCUACUAGAAAAAACUCAAAUUUUAGAUUUUUGUGAGUAAAUGUUUAAAUUUUUUGAAAAAUAUUAAAAUAUCUAAGAUAUCUUUUCUUUAUUUCAUAAUCUUAUUUCAUUUCUUCAUAACAUAACUUUAAAUAACUUACCUAUUAAAAUAAUUUCACAAUUUCUAAUAAAAACUCUAAUUGACAAUUAAGUAACAACUUUUUUUUUUGUAAAAACUCUAUUUAUAAAAAAUCUAAUAAAACUUUUAUUUAAAUAAAUUAUAUUUGAAAAGGUGUACUAAACCUACCUAACAUAAAAACAAAAAUUUUUACAUCCAGACAAUUAAGCUUAAAACAAUUUCAAAUGAAUUUUAGACUAAUCAAAGUACAAUACGUACCAAGUUUGGUAACUUAUUGACAUCUUCUCAUAUAACCUUCGAUCAAGUCGAUUCUCACUUGACGACUAUACUCGCAUGCAUCCGAUCACAAAUCUCACUCCAAUUGUCGUCUUUCUUCGCCGUUUUAGCGCAUCCUUCUUGAAUUUCCCGCAUUUCGUUCCCUCCUGUUACAAGUCUCCGGUCAGGUCAGUUCUCUUGACGAUUAAUUCGGUAAAUCUUGAAUCUCUUCUCUAUCCCUCUCGUUUUCUCGCGUCGUUUCACUUCAAUUUCUCGUGUCUCCUUUCAGUUUAAGUGAUUGAAUCAAUUCUAUCGCAGUCGUAAGAGAAAUUAAGUAAUGCUCUUGGAUUUAAAAUUUUUUUGCUUUCGACUUUAGAUCUCGAAAGUCAAACUCUGCUACGAAUCCAUAGAUUCUCAAUGUUCAUAAUCUUAUUUGUGUUUGACCAGGUAACCGGAUCGUGAAAUUCGUCGUUUUGUAUCAAUUCAAGCUUUCGCGAGCUCAUGGAAUCACCUGGUGAGUUGUGGUGAAACGUUAUCGUUUCAAUUUUCGCUUAAUUCUUUAUUGCAUAUUUUUUUCUCUAAUAUUUCAGUUUAAUUUAGAAAAGAAAGAGGACCCAAAAAGAGAGAGAGAGAGACAGACUCUACCAUACUCAAUUCCUUGCUCAUUCUGAUUUGGCCUGAAUGUUGGCAUUGACUAUUAUUUGUUUUCAUAUCGACUUAAUUCUCAUUUAGACAGUCUUUACUAACGGUCAAUAAUAGUUUAAGGAAAAUGAUAAUAGGGAUUCUGCAAUAAUCUUUCUGCAUUGUUCAAGUUAGUAGACAAUGAAUAGGAUGUUUAUGUUUACCUCAUUUUGAACCCUGAGGGCUUUGUUGAGUAGUUGAUUCAACAUAUCCAGCAACAGUUGAUGUGAGAACAGGAUGCCACUUAGAUAGGCUUAAACUGAUUUUGGAGGUUUGUAUUGGUUCUAUUGUACGUCUUGCUUACAAAUUUUUUAUUUUUUAUUUUUAAUUUUGUAUAAUAUGCUCUUUGUUGGUAAAUCUCAUUUGACUUAGAAGAGAUAGUUUUAUCCCAACAGUGGGAUAAAUCAUUGAGAUGCAUGGCAGUGUGAAUAUAGUAGACAAAAUCAUUGAGACACAUGGUGGUGUGAACAUAGUAAACUUUGUCAAACACAGCUAAGAUAAACAAAUUGUUUCAUUAGCCAUUAUCUUAUCUGCUGUGAUGAUUCAAAUUAAUGCUGUUUGGUAGGUUGCAAAAAACAAAAUGAGCUGACUGUUCGUAUUAUUUAGUCAGAUCUAUAGUAAUAAGUUGAAGUUCAUUGUCACAUGGGUUGGGAGUAGCGUGGGCUGUGAGUAGUAGAAUGGAUUUAUGGAGUUGAUACAAGUGCCCACAAUCUAUCAUGUCAUUCUAGGAUUAAAUGGAUUGCACAUUACUGUAAAGAUGGAGGUUAAAUUUAUAUAAUUCGGAUUGAUUGUAAAAUGGGACGCAGAGAUGAGUUAGAAAAAGAAUGACCUGUGUCCUUUUUGAGCUGUUUCUAAAUGUCCCUGGUGUGCUUCAUGCUUAACACGUGCCUUUCCAAAUAAUUUUGCUUAACCUGUGCUUGUCUGCUUCUUGUGCUAUUCUGUGCCUGGUCCUGAGCUGUGUUGGUAGAUUGACAUCCAGCUUGAACUUUUAGGUAUAUCUUUUGUACAUAAAUUCUGAAUACCCAUGGACUUAGCGUGAUAAAGUCAAGGAUCCAUUUAGCUGAGUCCUUCAAGUUUUGUUAGUAUGUCUUCGGAUUAUAAAUAUGUGACAAAAAUGAGGUGUAGAAUACAUUUAAAAAGAAAAGGAUAAAAAAAACAAAAGAAAUGAAAAGAGGUGUUUAGAAGUAAUAGUUAAACUAGAUACACUCCCACUAAUUUACAAUGCACACGACAUACAACUUCUAGUAAUCCUAGGACUUUGUUGACAGGGUGCUUCUAUUCCUCGUUGUGGAAAUGGGACAAACCUUUUGAUACCUUUACCAGGAUCAGUUAGUGCUGAGGAUAUGGCUAUUACUGGAGCUGGUGCACGACUUCAUGAUCAAGAUGCACCAACCCUUCCACUGUUGUAUGAUUUUGAAGAAUUAGAGGGAGAAUUGGAUUUUCUUACUCGUUUUGUGGCAGUUACCUUUUAUCCUGCUAUUUCUGGAACAAGCUCCAUGACUCUUGGUGAGGUAGAAAAUAUUUUCAUAAAAUGUUAAUUAAUGUGUCUACGCACUUUAUUCUUAAAUUAGUAUUUUAGACCAUGAGCUUUGUGGAGUGGGUUUGCUGUAACUGCUGCUGGUGACAACAUAAUUUUAAUAUUAUUACAGAUAGAGAUUCUUGGAGUUUCUCUUCCAUGGAGGGGGGUAUUCAAUAAUGAAGGCCCUGGUGCUAGAUUAAUUGAGCUUGGCAAAAAGUUUCAGAAGGAAACCGAUCCAUUUUUGUCAAAUUCAGUUACAAAUACAGUUCCGUUUUCCAAUGAAAAUGUGUCAACAUCAAUGCAAACAGAAGCUGCUUCCAAUCCUUGGGUUGACCUGUUGUCUGGAGGGGACACAUUUUCUGAUCCUCUUUCAGAGCCGUUUUCUAACCCUCUUUCUGAGCCGUUCUCUGAUCCUCUUUCUGAGCUGUUCUCUGAUCCUCUUUCUGAGCCAGUGACAAGAAAUGUUGCAUCUGGAGGGGCUGAUUUGCUUGAUUUCUUGGACCAGCCUAUAGUUGAAGAUCAUGGUGUGGAAACUUAUAAAAGAUCUUCAACACAGGAUGGCUGUUCUCUAGCUAGUGGUGCCCAGCAGUACAUAAGCUGUCUAAAAUCCCUUGCAGGGCCACGCGAGGAAUAGUGCUGCUCUCUUGUGUUUUUUGCAGCUCUACAUCUUAGCAACUUCAUCUUUUUAAAGGAGUAAAUUCUAGAAGUUCAACAAAUUUUGCUCUGUUAAAUGUAUAACUUAUUAAUCAGUGUCCUGUUAUUAUGGUUUGACACUACUGACAUAUUGUGUUGGUAUUUAUUUGUACUUCCCUUGGUUGAAUUAUUUGCUGUCUCCAUGCCAUUCGAUAUGGUGCUACUUGGUUUUUGAUCAUCCAUGACGCUAUAUAUAUGUAAAGGAUGAAUUGAUUGUUUUGGCUUGUAUUCUCACAUUUUAUGAUUGAUCGAUGGAAAGGUCUUCAUGUAUUAAAUUCAACCUCACAAGCGUAAGAUUGACAGAUUCUGGGCAAAUUUUCAGGAAAAGAAACUAGACUUCAUGGAAGCAAUGAAGCUUGAAAUUGAACGUCUGCAGCUGAAUCUUUCUGCAGCUGAAAGGGAUAGAGCUUUAUUGUCAAUUGGAACUGAUCCUGCCUCUAUAAAUCCAAAUGUAUUGCUUGAUGAAUCUUACAUGGGAAGACUGUGUCGAGUAGCAACCACUCUUGCAUUACUUGGCCAAACUUCCCUAGAAGACAAAAUUGUUGGUGCAAUUGGCCUUGAGAAUAGUGAUGAUAGUGUUUUAGACUUCUGGAAUAUUACUAGAAUCGGAGAGAGUUGUUCUGGUGGCUGGUGGCGGGUGCAAGGUUCGUGCAGAAACUAAGGUGCCUGCUCUUGCUUCCUCAACUGCAACAUCUGUUGGAGCUUCACAAUCCCCUUUGUUGUGUUCUCAAUGUGAAAGAAAAGUUUGCAAAGUUUGUUGUGCAGGAAGAGGAGCUCUACUGUUUUCAAAUUAUAAAUCAAGGGAUGUGACCAACUACAAUGGCUUCUCAAGUCAGAGUGGAUCAAGCCAUGGAAGCCAAGUUGAUGUAUCUACCAGUCGUUCACUAACACUGGAUGGCGUUAUCUGUAAACACUGCUGCCAUGCGAUUGUGCUUGAUGCAUUGAUGUUGGACUAUGUUAGGGUCUUGAUUAGGUUGCGAAGAAGUUCCCGUGCAGACAACGCAGCAUACAAUGCUUUGAAUGAGGUUGUUGGAUCCUGCUUAAAGGAUAGUCUUUCUGAAAGGAUUCAGUCUUCCGAUAACGUGCAAGCUGCUGAAGUCCUUCACCAGUUAUGUGGUGGACAGGAAUCUCUUGCUGAAUUUCCAUUUGUUAGCGUUUUGCACUCGGUAUGUUCUUGGUUUGUAUUCAGUUCUCAUCAUGUUAUGUUUUCCUUUUAAAUUUCUUUUCUUGAUUAAAAUUUUUAGAAAUAUGUUUUAGUAUUUGUUCUUAUGAUAUAUGCCCAGAACAUUCAUCCCACUUAUCCAUGAGAAUCCUUGUCUGGUUUGAUUUUCAAUUGAGACAUUUUUGGGAACCCUGAGCAGGUUCCAUAUGCUAAUAAUCUUUGAGGUAAGGUGUUGUAGGAUGCCUUGAGAAGCUAAAAACCUAUUACAAGGAAAAGCUCUUGCAUUGUUUUGUGCAAUCUGUGUGCUAGCAAGUCAUGUCUCUAAUAAUUUCAUAGUUCGCUUGAUUGGAAUUUUUUAUCUUGAUAUGGAUUGUUUAUUCUAGAUUCCUUGGUGCCACUGUAGGUUGAAACAGCAAAAGAUUCAGCACCGAUUUUGUCACUGCUUGCUCCAUUAAAUUCUGGAUCAAGGCACUCAUAUUGGAGAGCUCCACCUAGUACUACUUCUGUUGAAUUUGUUAUUGUUCUCGGUUCUGUUUCUGAUGUCAGUGGGGUUAUCUUGCUUGUUAGUCCUUGUGGCUAUUCUGUGGCUGACACUCCGAUGGUAAGUGCCAUAUUUAUUCCCUUAUUUCCUUGUUGUUCAAUAAAUUUGGUGAUAAGCCAAGUGGCCUUAAUAAUGAAGCCCAGUACCAGGGGUGGUGGGUAAUCGAUAUUCAACUUGUGAAUAUUCCUAAGCAAACACUGAAUCAACAUAUACCUCGGCAAAAGUUCUCCAUGCUAUUAUAACAAAAGUCAUAUUUUGAAAUGAUUAAAAGAGUCCCUGUGUAGUGCCAUUUCCAAAGAAAUUGCAGCUGGGGGUUUAGUUUCAUGUAGGUUAGUUUCCGAUAAUAAACUUUCCAUUUCAUUAAUUGCUGAUGAAAUAACCAAGUAAGAACAGUUUCGUUGCUCGUCAUUUAUGUAUAUUUUGGUAAACUGUAAUUUUAAAUUCUCAACGAUCUUCCCUUUGUAGGUAAGAAGAUGGUCCACUCACUUGAUAUUUAUGAUUGUAGAUCAGGUUUCUAUUGGUUUGCCUUUAUCAUUCGGAACCCAAGUUUGAUAUUAACAGAGAUCACGUCAAUAAUAUCCUAUUUGGGUAGAUGUGGGUGAGGAUUUAAAAUCAAAUUUGAAAUUGAGGGGAAAGAAGAGAAAAGGAACCACAAUAAUUAAACAAAAUAUUAGGAACUAUUCUGAUGAGUUUUAAUCUCGAGAGGAACAAUUUUCAAAUGCAAAUUUAACUGCUAGAGAAAUUGUAGCUUUUUGUCAUUAGUUAAGAGGAAAGAGAAUAAGAACUAUCCGGCCCUUUCCUUCAUGAAUGUGUGUUGAGGUUGCUGUAUUAUUUAGUCAGUAUUUGUAAUUUUCUUCCCUGCAGUGCUCUCUGCCUCCUGAAUUUGCUACUGAGUCCAUAUUUUUCUUUGAGCUGUUGCUUCCUAUUGCUGUUACAGGUACAAAUCUGGGCAAGCAAUAAGAUACACCGGGAGGAAAGGUCAUCAAUGGGAAAAUGGGAUGUCCAAUCCCUCAUCACAUCUUCUUCAGAUUUGUAUGGUCCAGAAAAGUCCGCUAGUGUUGAAAACUUACCUAGGCAUGUAAAAUUUACUUUUAAGAAUCCUGUUAGGUGCCUCAUUGUUCGGAUCACAUUACGUCUUCAGAGACCUGGUUCGGCUUCAGUUAAUUUCGGGAAGGACUUCAGUCUUUUGUCUCUUGAUGAAGAUGAAAACCCCUUUGCACAAGUAGACAGACGUGCUUCAUUUGGAGGAGCAGUUGAAAAUGAACCAUGUAUUCAUGCCAAAAGAAUUCUUGUAGUCGGAAGCCCAGUAAAAAGGGAGGGGCUUACCUCAUCACAGAGCUCUGAGCAGCUAAGUAUUAGAAACUGGUUGGAUAGAGCUCCACAAAUGAGUAGAUUCAAGGUAUUAGUUGCUUUCACUCUUUGUUCAUUCAUAAUUCCAGCUUUCUGCUUCACUGAUAAACCUCUUUUUUCUCUUAAGGUCCCAAUUGAGGCCGAGAGAUUGAUGGACUACGAUCUCGUCUUGGAACAGUAUUUACCUCCAGCGUCACCUUUGCUUGCCGGAUUCCGUCUAGACGCUUUCAGUGCAAUAAAACCUAGGGUUACCCAUUCACCUUCCUCAGAUUCAGAUAUCUGGGACAAAUCAGUAACAUUUUUAGACGACAGGUACAUCUCUCAAGCUGUGUUGUAUUUACAAGUAUCCGCACUCCAGGAACCACAUAACAUGGUAACUAUUGCGGAAUAUCGACUGCCGGAGGCUAGAGCCGGAACACCAAUGUACUUUGAUUUCCCACGACCGAUACAGUCCCGACGAGUUUCAUUCAAGCUUCUUGGAGAUGUUACAGCAUUUGCAGAUGAACCUUCAGAACAAGAUGAUUCAGGAUUGAGAGCUCCGCUUGUGGCUACAGGUUUGUCUUUGUCAAACAGAAUCAAGUUAUAUUAUUAUUGUGAUCCUUAUGAGCUUGGAAAAUGGGCAAGCCUUUCUGGAGUUUGAUCGUUAUUUAUAUGUCAGAGAAAGAGUUUUGGGUUUGAUUUUGAUUUGUAAUUUUUGUCAGUUUAUUGAAAUUUUUUGUUGUAUAAAAGCAGAAUGUAAAGGUAUAAAAAUUCAUUGAUGCUGCAAUGUCUGUGCUUUUGAGAAAGAAAGAAUUCAAUGUGUUUUCUAUGCAUUGGAUUUUCCCACUGCUUGUAAACUUGGGCUGUCGAAUGCUCUGUGAACCUUAAGGGCUAUAAAGUAAUUUUCAAGACUGAAGGAUUUAUUAAUCGAGUUCAAAAGAUUGCAAGUUGGUGAGCGUUUGCAUUUUAAAAAUCAAUUGUUAUUCUCUCAAUAAUCUAUCUAUUCUGCCGACCCGCCAAGCGCAGAAACCCUUAGUUCCGACGGACGUGUAACACUUCUAGAAAUUAGCCUUUUCUUCUAUAUGAACUGUGAAGGUUGAUCUCUCCUCGUGAAGUGAAGGUGGUUUUCCAAUUACAUACGUCGGGGGUCUUAUGAUAUCUAAUGUGUGAAAUUUCUCUCAUUUUACCAUAAAGAAAAGUUCUGUAAUGAUCUAAAGUUGGGAGUCUUAAAUUAUCUUAAAUUUAUAUUUAGAGUGGAGUUAUUGGCACCCCUACAUUAUUCUUACAAAACUCACUUUAAAUAAAAUUAUAAUUAAAGACAAUUGAAAAUUAAACAUUUAUAGAUUUUUUUUACAGCAAAUUACUUAAGUCAUAAUCAAUCUUUUUUUAAAAAAAAAUUUAUAUGUUGCUUCCUAUCUAAUUAAAAUAAAUUAUAAAAAUUUAGAAUAAUCUAUUGUUCUCUUUUGAUUUCUUAUUGAUUAAAUAUUUUUAUACUCAAAAUUACUUUGAAAUUAUAAUUUGAAAUAUGUGUUAUAUACAGUAGUUCGAUUUACCAAACCACAAAGGGCCACAAAGGGAGCCAAUGUAGUUUUGCCAAAAUCACGUUCUGUAGCAUAAUAACAGAUAUUAUUAUUGUAUAAUAGAUGGGUUUAGAAAAAUUGAAGAGUACGUGUCAGGUUUGAUUUUCAUGUGAUUUGGUUAGUGACGACGAAAACGACGACGUCGUAGUUGAAAAGCGUUUGAAUUAAUGUUGCGUAAAAAAAAAAAAAAGUUGUUCCACUGAUUAAGUCAACAUUACUGAUGUCUUAUCACCCUCGGCCAACUUAACAAUUGGUGUCCUUUGGACAAUUAAAUAUGAUUUAUUAAAAAAAAAUGAAACAAUUAAAUAUUAAAAAUUAGGUCCAAUAAUAAUAAUACUAAUAAUUAAGAAGAUCUAAUUACAUAUCAAAAUGACUCAAACAAAUUAAUUAAUUUUAUAUUAGCUAGCCAAGUAGGUUGUCCAUCCCACUCAGACAUGCAUGAAAGCUAAAUUCAUCAAAUGAAUUACUUAAGGAGUAUUUGAUAAUUUUGAAAUUAUCAAAAGGUGUUAUACUAUUAAAUAUUUUUAUACUUAAAAUUGCUUUGAAAUUAGAAUUUCAAAUUAAAAUAGCAGUAGCAAAAUCGUAGUGCACAUUCAAUUAACCAACUAAUAGUCUAAGAAGCAAAAGAGAGGAUUACAAGUUCACAACACCAUUAAUUCUCCUACGAAAACAUCAAUGUACAGAUAUAAACAAUCCGAAUUGGAAGCGAUUGGGAAAAACCCUUCAAUGGAUUGCUUUCCUUCCCAAUGCUAUAUACUGUGCAAACCAAGAAAAUGUUUUCAAUUUAGUAUAUUUUCAAAAUGCUUAUUUUCUCAGAAUUAAAAAAGUUAAAACAUGUAAUCUUCAGAAGCAUAUAAUAAAAGAACACUUCCACAAAUUACUACAAUUUCAUGCAGUAGAGAUUGAAGAAUUGAAUUCCACUUAUAGAAUGAAUUUUUUAAUAAUGAAAACAACAACAGAGGAUUAACUGAUGCUUUGACUUAUUUGCAGGUUGCAAUGAAUUAGUAACUGCAGCUAAGUUAAAUAAAAUAAGGUAUUUUCAAAAGCAAAAUGGAAUACAUAGAUAAAACAUCAUCUUAAACAAAUCACAAUCUAGAAUUAGAGCAUUUUCGACAUACCUAAGGAACAAGAAUACGUGAAAACGGGUGAUUCAUUUAUUAAGGAGUGUUGAUUUGGUCGUCUCUGCAAAUUCUUUAGGGACUCGGUUCCAAUUGCUCUUCAUCAAAACUGUAAUAUAAUUCCCCUUCAUCAGAACUCGAAUCGAUGCAAUAUAAUUCCCCUUCAUCAGAACUCGAAUCAAAUUCACUUGCAGCAGUUCCACUCGCGCUUGGCAAAUCAUCCAAUUUCCAAACUUCGGUAGCAAAAUUGAGAGUAAAAGUGUUGGCUUUGAUCUCGCUGGGAUUUGCAUAUACUGGACAUACUCCGCAACGUUUUAUCUUCUGACCCUUUUGGACCUUUAUUAUGUUUCGGUAACACUUAUUGAAGAACUUAAGUGAGACAGUUGUAUGAUGGUAAACAUCGGGAAAGCCAACAUUCAAGCAAGGCUUAAAACCAAGUAUGACAUGAUCUGAAUCAUGGGGGUCUUGAAUUAAGCCCGAUUCGUAACCCAGAUCAACAUGUUUGGCUUCAGAGAGAGUCUUUAUUUCUAAGUCGGAUCGACAGCCGACGCUAAAAAAACGAGAACGAUCAGAAUAAAGUUGCUUAAAAUCAAGAACAGCACAAAAAGCAAACCCGAUUAAGUUUCUGCAAAAAGAGUGCGGUGGCAGUUGAAUACGUAUCGAAGAUCCUGAACUUUGAUUGCUGAACCAGUCAGGAAUUUCGCUCCCAGGUAAAACAAUUUGGGAUCCCCUGAGUUUAGAAAGUUUCUGCGAAACGACAUUUAAAAAAAGAAAAUUGUAAAAUGAAAACCAUGAUUUCAGAUAUAACAAAGAGGGACAGAGUAAACAAGAGAGGGAAUUUGAUACCUCGUUGUAUGCAUUUUCAUAGCCCAGUCUCAGUGAUGCUGCAAUUGCCAUACGUAGUGAAUCUGCCAAAAUCUUGUUGUUUGCUUUUCCAUCAAGUUUCAAGCAGUUAGUAAACCCAAAAUAAAUUGGUUGUGGCGUCACAUAUUCCGGAUGCCAUUGACGAAGGUCAGGAGAGGGUUUGGAUAGCUUUUCGAGUACGGAUGCAUCUAGUUCUUGUACACAUGACGGAAUCUCUGGCAAAGAUUGAAGCCGGUUGCAGUUCAUUGCUUUUAGUGACUGUAGACACAAUGGAAGUUCUGGUAAUGACCGAAGCAUGUUACAAUCCUCCAAGUCAAGAGUUUCUAGACCCAAUGGAAGUGCUGGUAAUGACUGAAGCAUGUUACAACGCCAUAAGCGAAGAGUUUCUAGACCCAAUGGAAGUUCUGGUAAUGACUGAAGUAUCUUACAAUCCCUCAAUUCAAGAUAUUUUAGACACAAUGGAAGUUCUGGUAAUGACUGAAGCAUAUUGCAAUCCGUCAAGUAAAGAUAACGUAGCCACGACAGUUGCUUGAUACUUGCAG